rnacentral:rRNA from 1 species
UACGUAGGGAGCAAGCGUUGUCCGGAAUCAUUGGGCGUAAAGCGCGCGUAGGUGGCCUCAUAAGUCCGCUGUGAAAGUCAAAAGGCUCAACCUUUGAAAGCCGGUGGAUACUGUGAGGCUAGAGUACGGAAGAGGCGAGUGGAAUUCCUGGUGUAGCGGUGGAAUGCGCAGAUAUCAGGAAGAACACCCGUGGCGAAGGCGGUUCUCUGGGACGGUACUGACGCUGAGACGCGAAAGCGUGGGGAGCGAACAGG